rnacentral:rRNA from 1 species
GAUGAACGCUAGCUACAGGCUUAACACAUGCAAGUCGAGGGGCAGCAUUUUCUUAGCUUGCUAAGGAAGAUGGCGACCGGCGCACGGGUGAGUAACGCGUAUCCAACCUUCCCAUGUCCACGGGAUAGCCCGUCGAAAGGCGGAUUAAUACCGUAUGAGGUCACAUGCGGGCAUCUAAGUGUGACGAAAGGUUUAGCGGACAUGGAUGGGGAUGCGUCCGAUUAGCUUGUUGGCGGGGUAACGGCCCACCAAGGCGACGAUCGGUAGGGGUUCUGAGAGGAAGGUCCCCCACAUUGGAACUGAGACACGGUCCAAACUCCUACGGGAGGCAGCAGUGAGGAAUAUUGGUCAAUGGACGAGAGUCUGAACCAGCCAAGUAGCGUGCAGGAUGACGGCCCUAUGGGUUGUAAACUGCUUUUAUAAGGGAAUAAAGUGAGCCUCGUGAGGCUUUUUGCAUGUACCUUAUGAAUAAGGACCGGCUAAUUCCGUG